rnacentral:lncRNA from 1 species
UUUCAAGUGGGAGCAAUUAUUACUAAACUCCCAAGGACUUGGAAAUGAUAUAAGAAUAUUCUUCACAAUUUCAAAGACUUCUCUUUGUAACACAAUUAAAAAUAUUUUUGCAUAAACGAAGAAUCAAGGGCAAAAGAUAGGAUCGAAAGUUCUUAUGAUGGUUCUUCAAAAGCCAAUGCCGUAAACAAUGUGGACAGCUCUAAUAUAUACAAGAAGAAGGGAAACCUCUUGGUCCUAAAAAGGAUCAAGGGAAGUUCAAAACUAAGUUCAAAGAAUCUUGCUAUGUUAUUAAAUAUCAGAACAAAAUGGUAUGACGGAAAGAAAGAAUAUGACAUUCUUAAAAAUGAUAUAUACAAUAUUAUUAACUUCUGAGUUACUAUUUAACUCAUGGGGUGAAAUUUUACUUAGUGCUUGUCAUAUAGUAAAUAUGGUUCCUUUGAAUAGAGAAAAGGCAUCUGCAAGAAAUAUUGAAAGUGAAUCUUGGAAAACUAAAUGAACUAGAAAAGAAAAAGGUCUAGGAUGGGAUGAAAGAGAUUCCUAACUUAUUUCUUUCUAUUUAGUAGAGGAAGAUAGGAAAGAUAUUGUAAGAGAGGAAAUGUAGGAAAACAUUU